rnacentral:rRNA from 1 species
GUCCACGCCCUAAACGAUGUCAACUGGUUGUUGGGGAAGGCAACUUCCUUAGUAACGAAGCUAACGCGUGAAGUUGACCGCCUGGGGAGUACGGCCGCAAGGUUAAAACUCAAAGGAAUUGACGGGGACCCGCACAAGCGGUGGAUGAUGUGGAUUAAUUCGAUGCAACGCGAAGAACCUUACCUACCCUUGACAUGUACGGAAGCCUGCUGAGAGGUGGGUGUGCCCGAAAGGGAGCCGUAACACAGGUGCUGCAUGGCUGUCGU